UUACUUAGUGUUGCAGAUGUUGCGAAAGGUUAAUCAAAGGUCAAAUUUUAGGGUUCGUAAACCGUAUAUUGCGUACGGGAUGCUAGCUCUGUAAAGUAUGUUCAUUUCCGGUUUGUCUCGAUUUAUAAAUACAGGUGUCUGUUUACUUUUGAUAAGGUAAUAGCUUGUUCAACUUAAGUUGUUUAAUACAUGACAGUAUUAAUCAUUAUCGUGUUCAUAUCAAAGGACUAAGACCACGCACGUUCGAAGCAUUUAAAGGGUACUAUGGGACCGGUACUUCUUUACGUUCUGGUGUUGGCGAUGUAUCAUCCCGCUGAAAUCUUUUUAAAUCAAAUACGGAUAGCCGAAUAUGCUAUCUCCCUGCUACCAAGUGGAAGCCUAAUUCACAUCGGAUUUCUCGGGUAUGAAUAUGUCGGACUAUUUGACGCUAGAAAAGAGGAAUAUGAAAACUCAAGCGUUCCCGUAUUGAAGCUUUCCAACUUUGAAUCGUACGCGUUUUACAUUAAUGCUUCAAUGGCAACGUUUAACUACAAACACAAUUUCAAUGGACCCCCAGGACUGUCACAAAUCGGACUGAUCCUUGGUACUGAAAGCAGAGUAAAAGGAGACCUGAUGGGCAUCAAAGAGUUUAAGAAAAAGACUUAUGUGGUCGUUGAUACUACGUCCCCAACGAAGAGUCUGGCUGAACUUGCCACAAGUCCAAACCACGUGUUUUCGCCGUCCACGUUUGAUGCCAACCGGUUUUCAAACUUAUUUUAUAACGUUUUGUCUUUUUGAUAACGAGGAACUCCACUUUCCACCCUAACACCCUAACCCAGCUUGAAGGAGACACUUUCAACCUCGCUGCAAAUGAAAUUGCAUAUAAGAUCGGUAAUUAACAACGGAGACUCUGGAUUGGAAAGUUUAAAUUUGCACUACAUAACAAAGCACAUCAAACACGCUUUUCUGUGAAUAAUGCUAUAAAUACGAGAACAGAUGAAGUUCAUUAAUAUCUAUUUUAGAAUGCAUUUGUUUUAUAAUGUACGUUAUGCGGUUUGGCAUCUACUUUGCGAAACAAUAACAACAAUGACACAACUAACAAGCAUUUAUGUGACAAUUCUUGUAUUUGAAACACAUUAUCACGUCCUGAAGAGGUUGUAUGUGUGCGUUAAAUACUGUCCUUAAUGCAGAUGCGCAACAGGUAUGCGAUACCGACAUGUAUUUGCCUGCUUCUGGGGAUGGAAGCUGUCAGCUUUGCAUGAACGCAUGUGAGACAAUGUUCGCUCUUAACUGCACGACACAAGAUAUCCAACGACAGUGCAAAUACAAUGACAACACACGGAUGAUCCCAGACGUUUCUGCCAAGACAUCUACACCUAGCUACUCUGAACCUAUAUACGUCCAUGACAACAGACGGCUGAGUCGAACAAUUACCAUAGAACUACCUAUUGCACUCUUAAUAAUAGCGGUUAUUGUUUCACUGCUAUUAUUUUAUGUCGUUAGGCCAAAGGUGGUAAGAAAAUGGUUCCAAAAUGUACUCGCACUAUGUUUUGACUGUAUAGCCUCUUUUCUGUCUCCAUUUUCACAUAAACUGUUUGACGACCCUAGCCAUGUUCCUCUUUUUGAUGACUUUUCAGAUGAUGAAGUCGCAUUUGCAUGAAUAUAUUAAACAUGCUUUAAGAAAUGUGUUUGUGUUUCCGUACCACACAAGUAUUCAGCUGAUGUAAUUCAUAAGAAAUACAGAUGUAUACAUUUAAUAAUUACAACAUUUUGUUUGAUAAAUAUCGUCGAGAUGUGUGCAAAACUUGACUGUCAGGUUUUUUUCUGUCGGCAUUCGUAUUGGAGACCUAAUGGUAAUUGAAUGGGCCUACUGGGAUGCAUCCAUGGAAAAUUUUGACUAAUGAGGAAGCAAAAUCUCGUAGUCUUAGAGUUUACUUUACGUCUGUUUAAUACGCCGCAGUAUAAUUGCCUUUGCAUUCUUGUGGUGAUUUAUUUAUAGUCAAUCCAACUGAAUACAAAUAAAAACAAUCUUAAAGACAAUUGCGAUAAAUAUGUACAUGUGUAAAGUACGGUUUCAGAAAGAGGUGCCGUUCUAGUUAUUUAUUGUAAAAAGGGUAAAUUGAAUGUACUAUGUUUCCUAGGAUUGCCUAUUCUAGUUGUAUUAUUAAAUACCAACGCUUUCAUAAGAGCAUGCUUAAGUAUACUCAUUAUAACAUUGUUAAAUGUUGAUUCGAAAUUUGUCUGUGAACAAUGUUCAUUUGAAGUGUUAAAACUUGCGUAAUGUCAAGAUGACACAUAUAUAACCAUCUACAAAAGUCAGCCACCUAGCCUGUGUCUUGAUAGUCAUGUUGUUAAAUGUGAUACGAUGAAGUGAACACUUAUACUUUUGUUUAAAGGUGGUCAACUAUUACAUAGAACUAUAUAAUUUACAGUAGAGUCAUGUGUUUUCUUUUAGUUUUAUACAAGUGAUAUGAAGUUCAUGUGUCAUAUUACAUAUUAUGUAAAUAACAUAAUAAAUUACGAGAGACAAUAUUCUGUGUCUUGACUGUUUUGUAGUUGAAAGUAUUUUUUUUUAUAUAAUUAAAAGCAGUAUCGUGAGAUUUCAUGUAUAACGUUCGGUUAGUGCUUAAACGUCUUCUGUACGUUGAUUUAUAUGUAGUUAUUUUUAAUAGAAGGAAGUGUUAUCACAAGCACAACGAUAUAAUUGUGAUGAAUGUAUAAUUUAUAUGUUUGUAAAUAAAUGUUAUUUGUGCUGAAUAUAAUUAAAAAUACUCAGCUUAUUAAUAACAGUUUUACGAAUGGUGUGUAAUUGAUUGUGAUUAGACGCAUUGUUUUUAAAGAGAAACGAUAUAAUUAAACAAAAUCAUUUCUCAAAUGCAUUUAAUAUACAUUGAAUAUAAGUAAAAACCAUUAUAGUAUUAAAAGCAGUUCCAUGCUGUUAACGUUCAGUAACUGCUGUAAAUAUAGUGUGUGUCUUUAGUUUAAUUUAAUUCAACUUAUUUCAAACUUUUUUACUUUGCUUGUUUGCGUGACUGAAGAUUGACAUUCACAACUUAGCUUUGUAAAUUGAUCUUCUACGAAUGUAUUGCUGAUCCUUCCUGCAUUGCACGACGAUGAUCUGAUUGAUCUGAAUGUAAACAUUAUAUGAUGGCAUGUCUCAUACGCUUGUUAAUAAAGACGUGAUGUAUUCGA